rnacentral:rRNA from 1 species
AUGCACGACCACCUGGCCGCCCUCCUCCGCGGCGGCCGUCACCCGCGCGCAGUCCACGGCGCCGCCGCGAAGCUCGGCUGCCUCGCCUCCAUCUACCUCUGCAACAACCUUCUCCUCUCCUACAUCGGCGGCAGCCUCCACGCGGAAGCGCGCCGCCUGUUCGACGAAAUGCCCCAGCGCAACGUCGUCUCCUGGUCAGUCCUCGUCUCCGGCGCCUCUCGCCUCGGCGACCUCCGGGAGGCUUUUUUUCUCUUCUCCGACAUGCUUCGUAGUGGGGAGCGCGGAAGCUGCGACCGCCCCAACUCGUUCGUGCUCGGCGCUCUGGUCGCCGGGUGCACCCGUGCCAAAGACACUGCCGCGGGCUCGCAAGCGCAUGCUUCCGCUCUCAAGUUUGGUGUGGCCGAGGACGAGAGUGUUGCGGGGGCACUGGUGGAUAUGUACUCCAAGUGCGGGCGCGUGGACUUGUCGUGGCGGGCGUUUGCGCUCUCGCCGCAGAGGUGCGUCGCCAGCUGGACGAGCAUAAUCAGCUGCCUUGUCAACCAGGGAUGUUCAGAGCACCGUGAUGCAGCAAUUGCCUUGCUAAAGAAGAUGCUGCUCUUGAAGGUUUGGCCAACAAAUGCAACGUUUUCCUGCAUCCUGAAGGUAUUUGAUGCACCUGAGUUGCUUCCUGGUGGGAAGCAAAUCCAUGGCUGCUUAUUGAAGAUGGGGACUGAGGUUGAUCCUGCUUUAGGAACCGCCCUUAUAGCGAUGUAUGGUAGAUGCGGGGGAGUGAAUGAGAUGGCUAGGUUGUCUUGCCGGAUAAGGCAUGAUGCCUUCUCCAUGACUUCACUUCUUGUAGCUUUUGCGCGGAAUGGAUGCAACAUGGAGGCAGUUUGGAACUUUCGUGAGAUGGUCAUGGAAAAUAUGGCAAUUGAUCAGUCAGCUGUAACUAGCCUACUGCAGGUUUGUUCAUCAUUAGGACGGCUGAGACUGGCCAAGGAGGUCCACUGCUAUGCUCUGAAGACUUUCUUUAAGCUGGAUACAUUACUGCUCAAUGCAACUAUCACUGUUUAUGGCAGAUGCGGGGAUGUCACAGGUGCAGAGAUUAUAUUUAAUCGCCUGGAAAACAAAGACAUUAUAUCAUGGACGGCAUUAUUAACUUGCUAUGCUCAAAAUGAUCUUGCUCUGGAGACACUCUUGCUCUUCAGGGAAAUGCUUCGGAAAGGCUUAGGAUCUCCCGUCUUUUGCAUCACCAGUGUGCUAAGGGCCUGUUCUAGCACCACAAAUUAUGCUGUUGGGUGGCAAAUUCAUUCGAGGGUGGUGAAGUUAGGAAUUGAUGAUGCCAAUUCAGUUGAGAAUGCCCUUUUGACUAUGUACGCCAAGUGCGGAAGUGUUCGUAUUGCACUGAAGAUUUUCAAUUCAAUGAGGAGUAGAGGCAUUAUCUCGUGGAAUGCACUAAUAACAAGUUUUUCACAGCAUGGAAAUGAGGUGGCAGCCAUUCAGCUAUUUGACCUGAUGCAAGAAGAAGCAGUUUGUCCAGAUGAUUACACUUUUGUCGGGUUGUUAUCAUCUUGCAGCCGAAUGGGCCUAGUUGCUGAGGGUUGUGAGUAUUUCAAACUGAUGAACACCAAGUACAAUGUGAAGCCUAAGAUGGAGCACUACACAUGCAUGGUUGAUCUUUUUGCCCGCGCUGGAAGAUUUUCUGAUGCACUCGAGUUUAUUGAUGCUAUGCCUUGUUAUCCGGACAAACUCGUGUGGGAAGCUUUGCUAGCUUCAUGUAGGACUCAUGGUAAUGUGGAGUUGGGAAGGCUGGCAGCAAAGAAGAUUCUUGAAAUAAGACCUGAUGAUCCUUCACCAUACAUUACAUUAUCCAGCAUUCAUGCUUCAAUUGACAUGUGGGAAGAGAAGGCUUGGAAUCGUACUGUGUUUGACGUCCAGCGAGUAAGAAAAGAUGUGGGAAGUAGUUGGGUUGCUGGAGAAGAAUUUUCAGAUAAUACAUGUGAUGUAUUGCAAGAUGGAAUAACGUAA